rnacentral:rRNA from 1 species
AGCGAACGCUGGCGGCAGGCUUAACACAUGCAAGUCGAGCGGGCACUUUCGGGUGUCAGCGGCGGACGGGUGAGUAACGCGUGGGAACGUGCCCUCUGGUUCGGAAUAACUCAGGGAAACUUGAGCUAAUACCGGAUACGCCCUUUUGGGGAAAGGCUUGCUGCCGGAGGAUCGGCCCGCGUCUGAUUAGCUAGUUGGUGAGGUAACGGCUCACCAAGGCGACGAUCAGUAGCUGGUCUGAGAGGAUGAUCAGCCACACUGGGACUGAGACACGGCCCAGACUCCUACGGGAGGCAGCAGUGGGGAAUAUUGGACAAUGGGCGCAAGCCUGAUCCAGCCAUGCCGCGUGAGUGAUGAAGGCCUUAGGGUUGUAAGGCUCUUUUAUCCGGGACGAUAAUGACGGUACCGGAGGAAUAAGCCCCGGCUAACUUCGUG